rnacentral:tRNA from 1 species
AGGACUUAAGUUCUUGUGAAUUCCUUCUUUUGCACUGAAGGAGGAGCCUUAGGGCAAGUCUUU